rnacentral:lncRNA from 1 species
AGGAGAAGGAAGAGCAGUUAUUAUUGGAGGCAUAUUGGGUGCUUUUGAACAGAAUAGACUUUAGAAGAGACAAUCAAACCCAGAUGGGCCUUUUGGGCUGUUCUGUGUGGAUGUGCUAGGGUGACUUGUCUUAAAUGAAUAUUUUGCUAUUUUGCUCCAGGGAUGGUGACAAUUGUACUAUCUCUGAACUUGUCUGUUGUGGUGCUGCUUGGGCUCCUUCUUGGAGGCCCUCAAUUUACAGGAGGGGGAGGUCUGUGAUGACAAGCGCCAGCCAUGGUGAUUUUAACCCACAAAGCCAGCAUCUGGUGAUGGCAGCCCUCUUCUGGCUUACUCGGUCCUCUGAACUACAGUUAGCUGUUUAAAUGGCUUUCUUCUCAUUCCUGAAGCAUUAUGUGGAUUUCCUAUGCUCAGAUAUUGAUUUCAGAUCUCAUCCAGGAUCCUCAGCAAGAGUCAAAGAUCUGAUGCAAUCAGCAUCAUGUUAUCUGCAAACAGAGGUUGGGUCCAAAAGACCUCCCAGAGGAAAUCCUUCUUCUUCCAAGAGAGAGGUAAACACUGUAGGUAACUUAGGCACAGGCAGAGUUAAAAGACUUGCCCAAAGUCAUAGACGUUGAAUAGGGAUUCAAACCUUUUCUCCAUCUAACUCAAAAUUCGACACAUUUUCUUCUUCAUCAGUCUGCUCUGGGUGAGUCCAAAUCUUUUCUUUAUAUUUUAUAUAUAAAAAUGAAAUAUUAGAAUAUUUGACUCUUUUGGCAUUUAUUUUUAAAAUCAUCAAAGCUAUUGCCCACAUAACCACCAAAAUAUACUUUAGGAAACCC